GACGAACGCUGGCGGCGUGCUUAACACAUGCAAGUCGAACGAAGUGGCGAACGGGUGAGUAACGCGUAAUCAACCUGCCCUUCAGAGGGGGACAACAGUUGGAAACGAAUGCUAAUACCGCAUACUGAAGGAGGAGAUGGCGUCUGAUUGGCUCGGUGGGUGGGUCACGGCCCACCAAGGCGAUGCUAAGUAGCCGGGCUGAGAGGAUGAACGGCCAAAUUGGGACUGAGAAACGGCCCAGACUCCUACGGGAGGCAGCAGGGGGGAAUCUUCCGCAAUGGACGAAAGUCGGACGGAGCAACGCCGCGGGAGUGAUGACGGCCUUCGGGUUGUAAAGCUCUGUUAAUCGGGACGCGGUACCGGAAGAGAAAGCCACGGCUAACUACGUGCCAGCAGCCGCGGUAAUAC
rnacentral:rRNA from 1 species